ACAUGAACUUGCCUAUCUUCUGAAGAUUGGAACCAGCCAGUGCCAGGUUUCAUGGCAUGAUAUGACACAAUCCGUAGACAAAGGUUGCUGAGCCCAGAACAGCUUAUUGGACCAGCCCAUAUGAGAAGCAGAAAUGUGAAGCAAAUCAAACCUAAGGAAAGAGUGAUGAUACUUCAGGAGGGAUGACAGAGGAAGAGGAAGCACACUGACCAUCCCUGUCCCAGCAGAGAGCCAGCUCUGAUUCAGCAGACUCUGAGAACAUCUGGGUAGUUUCCCCAUUCUUUCUGUCCAGCAAUGAGCAGCUGCCAAGCAUGAUUCCCCUCUUCCAGGUAUUCCUCUUAGCAAUAUCUUCCAGAUUGCUGAGUUGAGUAAAUAUUUUCUUCUAUAAAGGUAAAUAAGCAUCUCAAGAACAAGUUACCACAUUUUGUAUUUCCCUGUUUUCUUUUCUGUAAAAUUGUGUAACUAAGAAUUAGGACCUACUGAUAUUAGAAUAAAAUUUGCAGAAGUUUGACUACAUUAGCCAGAUGGGUACUUACACCAACGAUUCCUGAGUGUUCAUCAGUUAACCAGGGCCUGGCUUGCUGCUUCUUAGGAGACAGGAACAUUUGUGUUAAAAUAAUAUAUUGGUAGGUGUAACUCCAAGAGAUCCUAAUUUGGAUCAUCAGAGGUGUGACUUAGAAGUUUUUAUUUGAAAGAUGCUCUUCAUGUCAUCCUGAAGUGUUUUUUGCUCGCCUGUUUUGUUUUUGGUGAGAAUUAUUUAAUUCAUGCUUUAGUAUCUUCUUGCAUUGCUAUGAAGAAAUACUGAGGCUGGGUAAUUUAUAUAAAAAAGAGAUUUAAUUGGCUAACAAUUCUACAGGCUGUACAGGAAGUAUAGUGGCUUCUGCUUCUGGGGAG
rnacentral:lncRNA from 1 species